rnacentral:rRNA from 1 species
UACGGGAGGGGCGAGCGUUAUUCGGAAUUAUUGGGCGUAAAGGGCGCGUAGGCGGCUCGAUAAGUCAAAGGUGAAAUCCCUCGGCUCAACUGAGGAACUGCCUUUGAAACUGUCGAGCUUGAGUCCGGGAGGGGGUAGCGGAAUUCCCAGUGUAGCGGUGAAAUGCGUAGAUAUUGGGAGGAACACCAGUGGCGAAGGCGGCUACCUGGACCGGAACUGACGCUGAGGCGCGAAAGCGUGGGUAGCAAACAGG